CCCAAACACACACACACACUCCAAAGGGUCAGUGACCCUUUGAUGUUUUGGAGAGAACUUGUAGUGUUGCUGCAAACAAGAACCUUCGUCCUUCUUUCUGAGUCACAGCUUCAGGGAAACAGACGGGUCCCUUUGAAGCAGAGAAACCCAACAAGUGGACACACUCAUAAAGUCCAAAAACGCCCCCCGGCCGCGUGGGGGCUGAGAGGGACCCUCGUACCAUCACCACCUUGUGUUUACUCCUCUUCAUCGAGGGCGGAAAGUCCAUCUGAAGGAGACUCGUCAUCUUAAGGGAGACUACCGAGUCACUUUGAUUCUUCUGCUUCUUCUUCCCAGAAUCCACCGCUACGAUGCUCGCCAAUGACGUGAAGCAACAGAAGCUACUGCAAACAACCUGGAGACAACGUGGGGCUUUUGUCUUCUUUUUGUACAAGGUCAUUUCUGGGAAACCAAGUAACCAGCGACUCUUUCAAAUCAGUGCAAAGCCUUUCAUCGCUGACACUUUCAUGUGCAACAUGGCUCCAAAUGUUCUGUUUUAUUUUCAUUUUCAUGAACCUGGAGGUACAGUGUUUUUAUAUUGGACUCUUUUAUACCGUGGUCACGUGCAACUGUUAAUAAAUCACCUUUUACGUCGUGAGAAGGAUGAGCUGGAUAAUCUGAAAUGAAUCAGCUGAAUGACAUGUGAUGUAACUUCUGUCCUGCAGACGAGCCGGACGGAGUGAACGAGGGUGUCGAGUCUCCACCUGGUGGCCACUUCCCACAGUUCAUCGUCCACCAUGAGACGCAAGGAAAUUAAAAUAUGCCGUUCAUAUAUCGGAGCGACCUGCUCAGAAGCUGAGAUGUGAGGAGGCCUCUUCCUCUCACCCAGAUGUGUGAGUACGUGCAUCUGGGGGCCACAGACGGACACCUCCACUGAGCAGCUGUGGGCUCUUUUCCACCUGAAAAGAUUUGUAUUCUUCGCGAGCAGAGAGACGCCUUCAAAUCCCCCUCAACGAAAAAAGAAAGAGAAAAGAAAAGGUCACCAUGAUUUUUUAAUGAAAUGUAAGAAAGAACCCUGAGGAAAACGAUGAACCGAGAUCACCUCUCUCGGAGUUCUGCAUUCGCGUCGCCGUGGUUACCGGAUCCCUCGCCCCAUGUGACCGUAUGACAUCAGUCAGCUUUGUCCCACAAAGACGAGCUUUAAAGAGAAUGUGGGCGACUGUUUCCACUGACGACGCAUAGAAUAUUUCUCUUUUAAGUGUUUUAUAGACUUUUGUGUCGGCGAUCACGUCAGUGUCUUAUGAUUUUAGUGAGUCAUGUGCAAAUAUCCUUUGAUCUUGUCUGUGACUUUUGGCUUCUUUUUAUAUGAGACACACACACACACACACACACACACGCAUGUCAGCUGAUGUCAGGAGAGUUCAUAACACAUCAACCUGAAUCAAUCUGCCCACAAUCCUUCUUGUUGGAGUCCAGAUGUGCGGAGCAGGAAGAGGAUUCGGUCCGGACUAAUUGCUGCGUUGGGGGAAAAGUGCGAUUCGAUGCGGCGGUCGUCAUGGGAGACGAAGGGAAGGAAGGAUCCGGUCGCUCCGGGUCUCAUCUCUCGGGGACCAAGAGGACACGUUGGCCCGAGGUCAUGGCGAGGGAAUCGCCC
ensembl:lncRNA